rnacentral:rRNA from 1 species
CCAAUAGCGUAUAUUAAAGUUGUUGCAGUUAAAAAGCUCGUAGUUGAAUUUCGGGGUCAGCAGGUUGGUCGUGCCACUGGUAUGCACUGGCCUCGCUGAUUCCUCCCUCUUGUAGAACCGUAAUGCCAUUAAGUUGGUGUUGCGGGGAAACAGGACUGUUACUUUGAAAAAAUUAGAGUGUUUAAAGCAGGCUAACGCUUGAAUACAUUAGCAUGGAAUAAUGAAAUAGGACGAUCGAUCCUAUUUUGUUGGUUUCUAGGGUUGACGUAAUGAUUAAUAGUGAUAGUUGGGGGCAUUAGUAUUCAAUUGUCAGAGGUGAAAUUCUUGGAUUUAUUGAAGACUAACUACUGCGAAAGCAUUUGCCAAGGAUGUUUUCAUUAAUCAAGAACGAAAGUUAGGGGAUCGAAGACGAUCAGAUACCGUCGUAGUCUUAACCAUAAACUAUGCCGACUAGGGAUCGGAUGAUGUUAAUUUUUUAAUGACUCAUUCGGCGCCUUACG